GGCGAACGGGUGAGUAACACGUUGGGAAUCUACCCCUGAGACCGGAAUACCUGGAAGAAAUUUCAGCUAAUGCCGGAUACGUGGUCAACACAGAAGUGAUGAUCAUAAAAGGCGGCCUUAAAGCCGCGCUGAGGGAUGAACCUGCGGCGCAUUAGCUAGUUGGUGAGAUAAAAGCCCACCAAGGCGAGGAUGCGUAGCCGACCUGAGAGGGUGAACGGCCACACUGGAACUGAGACACGGUCCAGACUCC
rnacentral:rRNA from 1 species